rnacentral:rRNA from 1 species
AAAGUCGUAACAAGGUCUCCGUUGGUGAACCAGCGGAGGGAUCAUUACCGAGUUCUCACAGAUCUGCGCCAAAUCGCCUAAUUUGUUGUAUACGUAUACCAAAUCCUGUUGCCUCGGCGGGUAUUCUCUGCCCCGGGCUGCGUUUCUUCAGCCCCGGACCAAGGCGUCUCCGCCGGAGGACCAACCAAAAACUCUUAUUGUAUACCCCCUCGCGGGUUUUUUACUAUCUGAGCCAUCUCGGCGCCCCUCGUGGGCGUUUCGAAAAUGAAUCAAAACUUUCAACAACGGAUCUCUUGGUUCUGGCAUCGAUGAAGAACGCAGCGAAAUGCGAUAAGUAAUGUGAAUUGCAGAAUUCAGUGAAUCAUCGAAUCUUUGAACGCACAUUGCGCCCGCCAGUAUUCUGGCGGGCAUGCCUGUCCGAGCGUCAUUUCAACCCUCGAACCCCUCCGGGGGGUCGGCGUUGGGGAUCGGCCCUUUACGGGGCCGGCCCCGAAAUACAGUGGCGGUCUCGCCGCAGCCUCUCCUGCGCAGUAGUUUGCACACUCGCAUCGGGAGCGCGGCGCGUCCACAGCCGUUAAACACCCCAAACUUCUGAAAUGUUGACCUCGGAUCAGGUAGGAAUACCCGCUGAACUUAAGCAUAUCAAUAAG